UGAACGCUGGCGGCGUGCCUAAUACAUGCACGUCGAACGAUGAAGUCCUAGCUUGCUAGGAUGGAUUAGUGGCGCACGGGUGAGUAAUAUAUAGUUAAUCUGCCCUACACAGAGGAACAACAGUUGGAAACGGCUGCUAAUACCUCAUACUCCUAUUUGACAUAAGUUAAAUAGGGAAAGUCUUUUCGGUGUAGGAUGAGACUAUAUCGUAUCAGCUAGUUGGUAAGGUAAUGGCUUACCAAGGCUAUGACGCGUAACUGGUCUGAGAGGAUGAUCAGUCACAUUGGAACUGAGACACGGUCCAAACUCCUACGGGAGGCAGCAGUAAGGAAUAUUGCGCAAUGGGGGAAACCCUGACGCAGCAACGCCGCGUGGAGGAUGACACUUUUCGGAGCGUAAACUCCUUUUAUCAGGAAAGAAUAAUGACGGUACCUGAUGAAUAAGCACCGGCUAACUCCGUG
rnacentral:rRNA from 1 species